ensembl:snRNA U6 U6 spliceosomal RNA
AUGCUCAAUUUCAGAGCACAUACAUUAAAGGUAGAAUAACACAGGACAGAUUAGCAUGGCCCCUGCACAUGAAUGACAUGCAAAUUUGUGACGUGUUCUAUAUUUUA